GACGAACGCUGGCGGCGUGCCUAAUACAUGCAAGUAGAACGCUGAAGAGAGGAGCUUGCUCUUCUUGGAUGAGUUGCGAACGGGUGAGUAACGCGUAGGUAACCUGCCUGGUGGCGGGGGAUAACUAUUGGAAACGAUAGCUAAUACCGCAUAAAAUGGAUUAUCGCAUGAUAAUCCAUUGAAAGGUGCAAAUGCAUCACUACCAGAUGGACCUGCGUUGUAUUAGCUAGUUGGUGGGGUAACGGCUCACCAAGGCGACGAUACAUAGCCGACCUGAGAGGGUGAUCGGCCACACUGGGACUGAGACACGGCCCAGACUCCUACGGGAGGCAGCAGUAGGGAAUCUUCGGCAAUGGACGGAAGUCUGACCGAGCAACGCCGCGUGAGUGAAGAAGGUUUUCGGAUCGUAAAGCUCUGUUGUAAGAGAAGAACGAGUGUGAGAGUGGAAAGUUCACACUGUGACGGUAUCUAACCAGAAAGGGACGGCUAACUACGUG
rnacentral:rRNA from 1 species